CAAAUUGUAGAAUACACACACACACGCACACACACACACACGUCACACACACAGCACCUUAAAAUGAAUUUUCUCUAGGGAAACAACAAAAUGAACCCUGCACUUGAACAACAUUUCAUUUUCAGUACCAUUAGCUGAAGAAGUAUUAAGGCAAGGUUGCCUUCUUAAUGAUUAUUACAUGUGUUCUAUCCUCAGUACGUCAUUUACAAUAUUCAGACUUGGAAUAAAGUACUUUGAACUCCCCAGCGGCCAGUCAGAAAAUGAGGAACAGGUUGUGAAUAGAAGAUACAAAGGAGUAUUAGAUCUGCAUUGAUUAAAUGGUGACUACAAAUAGACUUAAAAUACAUCUUCCCAAUUAUGAAUCUCUACAGGUGGCUUUGUCCUGUUCACCCAACUGGAAUGGUUGCAUCGAAGUAAGAAAAUUUUCUCCAAAAAUUAAUACCCAGAUCUACGCCAAAAACAAAGUGAAGAAUACAGCUUCUGCCCUCACCAAGUCAUCUCUAAUAGAGAGAUUUCCUUAAACAUAAAUAUCUUCAAAAUGCUUGUUCAUUUGAGAGAAAGAUACAGAAUAUUUUACAUGUGCCCUUCGCUGGAAUAUUUUUAUUUAUUUAAUUCAAUAAAAAUUGACUCACAGUU